CCAACGCGUUGGGAGCUCUCCCAUAUGGUCGACCUGCAGGCGGCCGCGAAUUCACUAGUGAUUCGUAUUACCGCGGCUGCUGGCACAGAGUUAGCCGGUGCUUAUUCUGUCGGUAACGUCAAAACAGCAAAGUAUUAAUUUACUGCCCUUCCUCCCAACUUAAAGUGCUUUACAAUCCGAAGACCUUCUUCACACACGCGGCAUGGCUGGAUCAGGCUUUCGCCCAUUGUCCAAUAUUCCCCACUGCUGCCUCCCGUAGGAGUCUGGACCGUGUCUCAGUUCCAGUGUGACUGAUCAUCCUCUCAGACCAGUUACGGAUCGUCGCCUUGGUGAGCCAUUACCCCACCAACUAGCUAAUCCGACCUAGGCUCAUCUGAUAGCGCAAGGCCCGAAGGUCCCCUGCUUUCUCCCGUAGGACGUAUGCGGUAUUAGCGUCCGUUUCCGAACGUUAUCCCCCACUACCAGGCAGAUUCCUAGGCAUUACUCACCCGUCCGCCGCUCUCAAGAGAAGCAAGCUUCUCUCUACCGCUCGACUUGCAUGUGUUAGGCCUGCCGCCAGCGUUCAAUCUGAGCCAUGAUCAAACUAAUCGAAUUCCCGCGGCCGCC
rnacentral:rRNA from 1 species